rnacentral:rRNA from 1 species
GACGAACGCUGGCGGCGUGCUUAACACAUGCAAGUCGAACGGAAAGGCCCUGCUUUUGUGGGGUGCUCGAUUGGCGAACGGGUGAGUAACACGCGAGUAACCUGCCCUUGACUUUGGGAUAACUUCAGGAAACUGGGGCUAAUACCGGAUAGGAUCUCCUGCUGCGUGGUGGGGGUUGGAAAGUUUCGGCGGUGGGGGCUGGACUCGCUGCUUAUGAGCUUGUUGGUGGGGUAGUGGCUUACCAAGGCUUUGACGGGUAGCCGGCAUGAGAGGGUGGACGGCCACAUGGGGACUGAGAUACGGCCCAGACUCGUACGGGACGCAGCAGUGGGGAAUAUUGCACAAUGGGCGGAAGCCUGAUGCAGAAACGCCGCGUUCGGGAUGCCGGCCUUCGGGUUGUAAACAGAUUUCGAAUGUGACGAAGAGUGAGUGACGGUAAUGGGUAAAGAAGCACCGGCUAACUACGUG